AAAUGGGUCAGCGGAAAAAAGGGCCACCCAUUUGUAUUCGUCGCCGCGUUUCUUUUUUUUUCUUUUUAACGUUCUUCCUUUUUUUUGAAAC
rnacentral:ribozyme from 2 species